UUUCUAAGACACUUCUUUGAGAUAUGUAACGUCUACCGGUGAGUAUACUUUCAAAAUGCCCUAUCUAUAACAAACUUGUUUGACGGGACAGAAAGAGACAGAUUUCUUACCGACCAUGUUUGCAAGACAUCAAAACCAAUACCCCUUAAAGCUGCUCAUACGCUAAGUAUAUAUAACAACCACAUGUACAACCAACGGAACAUCUGAUAACUAAAAACACCAACACCGUUUUACAGUAAAAAAAAAUAACUUCAAGAAAUAAAUACAGCUCAGCGGUUGUCGUCUUAUGUUCAGUUCAUUUUAAUGUUUUAGUAGAAUCGGUGUGUCUCCUUAUUUCUUGCUAUUUUCAAUAUUUCUGUUGGAACGAAACACAAGUGCCAUUUAUUAUCGUACGACAGACCCACUUCGAGAUUGUUCUUUAAUUUAAUGAAGACAAAAAAUUAUCUUAAAGAGAUAAGGAAUCGACAGAUUGACUAAAUUUUAUUCAAGUGAAUCGACACUUAAUAGAAAUAAAUCAGAAUAUCGGGCGACUACACAAAGACAUUUUUAAGUGAACAUUGCUUAGUGAAAGUACAAACAGGGAGUGUGCUGUGAAUUGAUAACAUUCGUUGAACUUUAAUCUAAAAUAUUUUGGCAACGCACGAAAUAUAAAAAAAACACUCACAAAUCGCAUUUGACCUUUCCAAUUAAAAUUCAUCACUUGAAUCCAAUCUCGACGCGAUAAGAGCACACUUGAACAUUAUACCAUCAUCAAGCGUUUA